rnacentral:rRNA from 1 species
GGGUGCGAUCAUACCAGCACUAAUGCACCGGAUCCCAUCAGAACUCCGCAGUUACGCGCGCUUGGGCUGGAGUAGUACUGGGAUGGGUGACCUCCUGGGAAGUCCUAGUGUUGCACCCUU